UGGGGAAUAUUGCACAAUGGGCGAAAGCCUGAUGCAGCGACGCCGCGUGAGGGAUGACGGCCUUCGGGUUGUAAACCUCUUUCAGCAGGGAAGAAGCGAAAGUGACGGUACCUGCAGAAGAAGCGCCGGCUAACUACGUGCCAGCAGCCGCGGUAAUACGUAGGGCGCAAGCGUUGUCCGGAAUUAUUGAGCGUAAAGAGCUCGUAGGCGGUUAGUCGCGUCUGCUGUGAAAACUCGAGGCUCAACCUCGGGCUUGCAGUGGGUACGGGCUGACUAGAGUGCGGUAGGGGUGACUGGAAUUCCUGGUGUAGCGGUGGAAUGCGCAGAUAUCAGGAGGAACACCGAUGGCGAAGGCAGGUCACUGGGCCGCAACUGACGCUGAGGAGCGAAAGCAUGGGGAGCGAACAGGAUUAGAUACCCUGGUAGUCCAUGCCGUAAACGUUGGGCACUAGGUGUGGGGUCC
rnacentral:rRNA from 1 species